UACAGAUGAAGUGGGUAUGGGAUGGACCGGAUUCAGCUUUGCGUCGCCUGUGUGAUCCCCAAAUUCCCAGCAUGCUAACAGCCACACCUCAGCGCUAACCUUAGCCGGCUGUCCUGAUUCGCUCAUUAAAGAGGUUCAUCAUUUCCGAGUCCUGGGAGAUGAGCAGUAUGAGUGCUACCAGCAAUACGCGGCUGAGGAGUGUGUUCUUCAGAUGGGAGGAGUUCUGUGUCCCGCUCCAGGAUGUGGAUGAUUGCAGGAGAGUCCGCUGUGAGUUGGGAAAUGGACUCGGCUGUGGGGUACGACCUUCUCUACUCACCUCACAACAGCUUUUGCAAUAAUAUGCAGAGAUUUCUAUCAGUAAGCCAUUUGUUGGUCAACAUGUUUGUUUGUGUAUCCCCACCAGCCCAAAAAGUCAUGAUUUCUGUUAUUAUUCCACUCUGUGCCAGUAGUGGGGAAGAAAUGACACACUUCACCUUUAAUAUGUGUUGGGUUGUCCGUAAUUAAGAAUUAUGAGCUAUAUAAAAAAAUACAGUUUUAUAACAGCCUGACAUGACAAACAUCUGCAUUUUUACAAACUUUUGAUCAAGUAUAUCCCAGUUUGGGAUGGCAUUCAUGUUUCUUCCCUGCUAUCUAACGCUGGCUUAUUCCACUCAUCCAAUCACGGCACGAUUAAGAUGUAAUCACCACACAAUUUGCAUGAUGUUUUCUAAUUAGCCAGUCGAUUAAAGAUUAGAGUGUAGUUCAGCUGCCAUUAGCGCUGACUGAUUGCAUGUUUGCAAACACAAACAUCAUCAUUCCAGUGGGACGAAACCCCAUAUCUGUGCUUCUGUCUGUCUCUGUCAAAGGUGCAGCCUGCAUCACAGAGCGCUGUCUGAAAGCCUUUUGUUGUCAUGGACUGUGGUUUUGAGCUGUAGAUGGGCAUUAGACCUAGAUGUAUUUGCCAGAGAAUUCAUUUGAUUAAUUAUGUUGGUUUUGUAUGUUUCACACAAAGCAGGGUUUUGGGACACAGGUAUUUCAAACAAAAUCAAAUACAAAAAAGCACCUUCUCACUCAUAUAUUUUUGCAAAACAACAAAGUGAAGUACUUUUUUUUCAGACUUUAUAUACAAAUACCUAUGAAUGCUAAUGAGAUCCAAUGUAACCGCACUGGUAUAGUUUAAGCUGCUGUCAUGGACAGAGGUUUUGAGCAAAACAAAACACAAAACAGGCUACUGUAAAAAUAAAUUUGGUAACAAGGUUUAAAAGAAGAAGAAAACAACAUGUGGU